CCUACGGGAGGCAGCAGUGAGGAAUAUUGGUCAAUGGCCGGAAGGCUGAACCAGCCAUGCCGCGUGAAGGUCAGUGCCCUAUGGGCGUUAAACUUCUUUUGUGCGGGAGCAAUAAUGGUCACGUGUGGCCAGACGAGAGUACCGUACGAAUAAGCAUCGGCUAACUCCGUGCCAGCAGCCGCGGUAAUCCAGGGGAUGCAAGCGUUAUCCGGAUUUAUUGGGGUUAAAGGGUGCGUAGGCUGUGAGGUAAGUCAGCGGUGAAAUGCCCCCGCUCAACGGGGUGAAGUGCCAUUGAUACUGCCUUGCUGGAAUGCGGAUGCCGUGGGAGGAAUGUGUGGUGUAGCGGUGAAAUGCAUAGAUAUCACACAGAACACCGAUUGCGAAGGCAUCUCACGAAUCCGCGAUUGACGCUGAUGCACGAAAGCGUGGGUAUCAAACAGGAUUAGAUACCCUAGUAGUC
rnacentral:rRNA from 1 species